GUCAUUGUAUUUUCUGUUUGGAGUUCUAACUGGCUGCCCUGACAGAACUAUUGCAGCUCCAUUAGCAAAAAAAGGAGAUGACGUUAAUCGAGAGUCCACAGCAUUUAUGUGAAGGGAGAAGGAGAGAUCCAUAAUGCCCCCAGUCUGCCUCGUCUAGCUGCUGUGUCUAUCUCAGCGGUUCGCAGGAGUUUGACCGUCUGCCUGCGGAUGAUACGUGAGGGUGUCCCGAAGCUGACAAUUACAUCUGCCAAUUGAGUCAGUUGUCUGAGCAUGUGCACGUCUCUGCUUACCAUUUAAUUGGCAAUAUAUAGAGUCCCUUUCAGGCAUCUUGGAGGAAUCAUUUGGUGAUGUUACUGGUGAUGACAAAACACAAUAAAGACACAAUAAAGAUCCUGGCUUACAAAAUGAAACAAAGGCAUAAUCUCAAUCCAUAUAUGAUCUGUAGAAAUCAGUAACCUGUCAUUGCAACCUUAUUAAAUCCCAGGCUUGAUGGAA